rnacentral:lncRNA from 1 species
AUUUCAAAAAUCAUUUUUAAAAGAAGCAGUAUGUUAGCUCUGAGUCUUCUCAUGAAUACAAUGAUUUAUUCUUAAAGCAUAAAAUUUCAUAUUUUUUAAAUGUACAAAUAAAAUCUAUUAUAUAAUGUACUCAAAUUAAUUUCUAUUCAGUUGUACUUUUUUUUUUUUACAUUUUUCAAGUUUUCAAAUUUUCUUUUAUGUUCAUCUUUCAUUAC